CCGCCGCAACCUCCAGCACCGCCGCCCCAGUCCCCGCAGCCGCCGCGUCGCCGCCAUUUUUUAAAGGGUCCGCAGCCUGAUGCUGCCGAGUAAGGGGGGGUGGGGCGGCUGAGUCGGCCUCGCCAGUGCGCAUGCGCGAGGCCCGAGUCGCCGCUUGGAUCACAGUGACCGCCACCGUUGCCCGGGGAUGGGUCCCUGAGACUUUGCGAAGUAGGAGCCCUGUGUGAUCGUGCGUCAGAGUCGGGGCUGAGACCAGUCCUGGCCAGGGCAGUUACCAGGACGGUCUCCGGAGGCCGGGAUUCGCGGAGGGUCCACCAGCAGGAAGAAACGCCAGAAGGAAGAAACCUCAGACAGAUCGCCGGGGAGGCAGCGCGGGAUCCCAGCCUCAGGCGUGCGCGGACGGUGUGCGGGAAGGGAGUGUAUCCUGGUGUAUGACAGCAUAUAGUAGAGACCAGUGUCAAUUAGGGCCUGUGAACUGAGACAGGGUGACUGGCUAAGUCCACAACCCAUUAGAAACCCAGAAAUAAUCAAAUCAUGAGGGAUCAUGGAAAGGAAGCUGAAUUUGCUGAGUUUUGCCACGUGGGCAUUGCAUGCCUAUGUGAUUAACCACCAAUAAAAACCUGGGACAUCAAAAAAUAAAUAAGCUGCUUUAAUUGCCAAGAAUUCACAUGUGGUUGUAUGCAGCAUUACUGGGAGAUUGAAGUGUAUCUGCAUGUGAUUCUACUGUGAUGGACACUUGUAAAUUUGUGCCUGGAGUCUCCUGGAAUUUGCCCUGAGAAUCUUUUUCCUUUGUUGAUAAGAAUCUGCAUCCUUUUGUUUUAAUAAACGAUAAACAUGAGUAUAAUUGCUUCUCUGAGUUCUGAGAGUUUUUUAAAUAAAUAAUCAAAGCUGAAAAGCAAUGGAGACCCCCACCAAAACAUCUUUACACAUUUCAAUUUUGUAUU
rnacentral:lncRNA from 1 species